GACGAACGCUGGCGGCGUGCUUAACACAUGCAAGUCGAACGGAAAGGCCCUGCUUUUGUGGGGUGCUCGAGUGGCGAACGGGUGAGUAACACGUGAGUAACCUGCCCUUGACUUUGGGAUAACUUCAGGAAACUGGGGCUAAUACCGGAUAGGAGCUCCUGCUGCAUGGUGGGGGUUGGAAAAUUUCGGCGGUUGGGGAUGGACUCGCGGCUUAUCAGCUUGUUGGUGGGGUAGUGGCUUACCAAGGCUUUGACGGGUAGCCGGCCUGAGAGGGUGACCGGCCACAUUGGGACUGAGAUACGGCCCAGACUCCUACGGGAGGCAGCAGUGGGGAAUAUUGCACAAUGGGCGGAAGCCUGAUGCAGCAACGCCGCGUGCGGGAUGACGGCCUUCGGGUUGUAAACCGCUUUCGCCUGUGACGAAGCGUGAGUGACGGUAAUGGGGAAAGAAGCACCGGCUAACUACGU
rnacentral:rRNA from 1 species